rnacentral:lncRNA from 1 species
UCAGAGAAAUAAUAAUGAUCAAAAGAGUUCAAACUUCAAAUUUUAUUAUACUCUCUGGAGAUAAAUAUUUGAGUAUAAUAAUGUAAGAUCAAAAUCAAUGUUCGAUAAAUAAUUUCAAAUUUUUUUAAUAAAUAAAGAAUUAUAAAAUUAAAUUUUAGGAUAAUAAAAAUUUAUCUCUAAAUAUUCUAAAUCUAAAAUCAAAAAUCAAAGGUCCACUCAUUCUGGAAUUAGGAUGC